GUGAAUUUUUGUCUUUUUUUUUUUUGUUUUUGUUGCUAGCAACUAUGAUGAUAGGGCAUUCAUUGUAUAAUCUAAUUUUAUUGCAAAUGCUUCAAGUCACAAUAGCGUAGGACCAAAGUGCAAAGUUAAUAGUUUAGUUUGAAAUUUCAUGCACUUCAUUUAUAAGUGUGUUCAUUUAGCGACAGAUUAGUAAUUAAAAAAAAAAUAUGUAACA